GGAGGCAGCAGUGAGGAAUAUUGGUCAAUGGAGGCAACUCUGAACCAGCCAAGCCGCGUGAAGGAAGACUGUCCUAUGGACUGUAAACUUCUUUUGUGGCAGAGUAAACUACCGUACUUGUACGGUAUUGCAUGUCUGCCAUGAAUAAGCAUCGGCUAACUCCGUGCCAGCAGCCGCGGUCAAUACGGAGGAUGCAGGCGUGCUCCGGAUUUAUUAGGUUCAAAGGGUGUUCAGGCUGGCUGGUAACUCAGGCGUGAAAGUCGGUUGCUCCACGAUCGAAUUGCCUUUGAGACUGUCAGGCUCUAGUAUGGAUGCCGUAGGCGGACUGUGUCCUGUACCGCGUGAUAUGCAUCGAUAUUACCCUGAACACCGAUUGCGAAGGCUGCUUACCAAACCAGCACGGACGCUGAAGCACGAAAGCGUGGGGAGCGCACAGGAUUAGAUACCCGGGUAGUCCACGCCGUAAACUUUGCUCACUCACUGUUGGCGAUAGACAGUCAGCGGCCAAGGGCAACCGAUAAGUGAGCCACAUGGGGAGUACGGCCGCAAGGUUGAAACUCAAAGGAAUUGACGGGGGCCCGCACAACCGGUGGUACAUGUGGUUUAAUUCGAUGAUACGCGAGGAACAUUACCUGGGCUUAAAUGUGAAGCGCAUUGAUUGGAGACAAUCAUUUCCUUCGGGACCCUUUACAAGGUGCUCCAUGGUUGUCGUCAGCUCGUGCCGUGGGGUGUCGGGUUAAGUCCCAUAACGAGCGCAACCC
rnacentral:rRNA from 1 species